rnacentral:rRNA from 1 species
UCUACGGGUGGCAGCAGUGAGGAAUAUUGGUCAAUGGCCGGAAGGCUGAACCAGCCAAGCCGCGUGAAGGACGAAGGUGCCAAGCAUUGUAAACUUCUUUUGUCAAGGGACAAAAUCAGGCUCGAGAGCCUGACCGAGGGUACUUGAAGAAACAGCAUCGGCUAACUCCGUGCCAGCAGCCGCGGUAAUACGGAGGAUGCGAGCGUUAUCCGGAUGUAUGGGGUUUAAAGGUCGGGUAGGCGGACUGUUAAGUCAGCGGUAAAAGCCCGGGGCUCAACCCCGGCGAGCCGUUGAAACUGGCUGUCUUGAGAUGUCGAGGGGUAAGCGGAAUGCGCAGUGUAGCGGUGAAAUGCUUAGAUAUUGCGCGGAACUCCGAUUGCGAAGGCGGCAUACCGGCGGCGAUCUGACGCUGAGGCACGAAGGCGUGGGUAUCGAACAGGAUUAGAUACCCUUGUAGUC